GGCGUCCGCUCUGCUCCAAGCAGAAUUUCCAGUGAGUCAAAGUUUGUGUAUGAAAAGUCAUUGAAAAUUGAGCAAAACUCCCAGUUUUCAACUUUACCUGCCGGAGAUUCUUUUUCUUUCUUCUUCUAGGGUUUCGUCUUUUCACCGAUCGCCAUUUUUGCCGCUUCAACUAUUACCACCUUUGAGCUCCUGGUUUUUGGAAGCUGAUGAUCCGUCUUUCAAGUUGUGCCCAUCAAUCACUACCAUAAGCAAGUUCUUAUCUUUGUUUCCGAUAUGGCUUCUGGCUGUAUAAUGCCUUCAGCAGGUGGAAAACCUCACACUGAUGCCAUGCUUGUUGACAAACUUCCUGAAGAAAUUAAUGAAAUGAAGAUCAGAGAUGAUAAAGCAGAAAAGGAAAUGGAAGCAGCUGUAGUUGACGGGAACGGAACAGAAAAGGGCCACAUCAUUGUGACAACUAUUGGGGGCAAAAAUGGUGAGCCUAAGCAGACCAUUAGUUACAUGGCCGAGCGUGUUGUUGGACAGGGUUCCUUUGGAAUUGUGUUUCAGGCCAAAUGCCUUGAAACUGGAGAAACUGUGGCAAUAAAAAAAGUUCUACAGGAUAAGCGAUACAAGAAUCGGGAAUUGCAAACAAUACGCCUUCUUGACCAUCCUAAUGUUGUUUCACUGAGACACUGCUUCUUUUCAACCACAGAAAAGGAUGAGCUUUAUCUUAAUUUGGUUCUUGAAUAUGUACCUGAGACUGUCUACCGUGUGUUGAGACAUUACAGCAAAGCAAACCAACGGAUGCCAAUGAUUUAUGUCAAGCUCUAUACAUAUCAGAUUUUCAGAGCUUUGGCUUACAUACAUGGGAUAGGAGUCUGCCACAGGGACAUCAAGCCUCAGAAUUUACUGGUCAACCCACAUACUCACCAGCUUAAGCUCUGUGAUUUUGGGAGUGCAAAAGUUCUGGUCAAAGGCGAGCCAAAUAUUUCAUACAUUUGUUCUCGUUACUAUCGUGCGCCUGAACUUAUAUUUGGAGCAACAGAAUACACAUUUGCAAUUGACAUUUGGUCUGUGGGUUGUGUCCUUGCUGAACUGCUUCUUGGGCAGCCCCUCUUUCCUGGUGAGAGUGGAGUUGAUCAGCUUGUGGAAAUUAUCAAGGUUCUUGGAACACCAACUCGGGAGGAAAUCAAGUGUAUGAAUCC
rnacentral:misc_RNA from 1 species